rnacentral:rRNA from 1 species
UACGUAGGCAGCAAGCGUUGUUCGGAAUUACUGGGCGUAAAGAGUGUGUAGGCGGUGCUCUAAGUUCGGUGUGAAAUCUCCCGGCUUAACUGGGAGGGUGCGCCGGAAACUGGAGUGCUUGAGCGCGGGAGAGGAAAGCGGAAUUCCUGGUGUAGCGGUGAAAUGCGUAGAUAUCUGGAGGAACACCGGUGGCGAAGGCGGCAUCCUGGACCGACACUGACGCUGAGGAGCGAAAGCCAGGGGAGCAAACGGG